CAGGAAAUGGGGCAGCCAGGAGUGCUCGAGAACAGAUGGGGCCAGGCACCAUGGCCCACACUUGUAAUCCCAGCACUUUGGGAGGCCAAGGCAGGCAGAUCACUUGAGCCUCCCCAGGGAUAUGAGGCGGCUUGUGAGGUCCUCUGGAGUCAGAAGAUGCCACCACCCCAGAGGAUGUGAGCCCACCUGUGGAGGUCUUGAUCCCCACCACUAGGAUGGGGCAGCCCCAAGGUGGGUGACUACAUGAACUCCCUGUGGUGAGGGGUGAGUAGAAGCCCAUGGAAGCCUCCCCACUGCCAUGCAACCCCAUCGCAUCUCCACUGAACUCCGAGCAGAAAACGGCUGCCUGAUGGGAACUGUCAUUUAGGUUCCCAGGCUACUUUGGUGGAUCUGAGAAUAAAUCCCUCAAGACAAGGUCCUUGCUCUGCCCUUCUCCAGGGUGGGACCCAGAGUUACUGGCCCCUCCAUCCCAUGGAGCCGAUUCUGCAACCCUCACUUCCUAAGCACAGAAAUCUGGAACCACUGGUUAAAAAGAAGUCUGAGAGCCAAAAUACACACAGCCAGCUGUGAGUUACUACCUGCCUUACCCAGGAAAAGGACAUGAGCUGCCCAAGCACACACCUCUUUGCCAUCUAUGCCAGCAUUUUUACCUUCAAGGCCGAUGUUCUC
rnacentral:lncRNA from 10 species